GUGCAAAUACUUUGAAAAAGCUCAUGAAUUUUCUUGAGUCUAAGAAUACGAGAUUUCAGCAAAUAUGAGAGCUACAACAUUAUAGAUGAUCUCGUUGGAUUCAGAAAGACGCUAACUAAGUCAAAACCGUUGAAUUUUUUUAAUAUUAUGGCUAUAAAGCCGAGAUAUCAACGUAUGUCAAAAGUCCAUUAUUUGGCAUUCUAUUGCAUCUCGAAUAGGGGGUCAGAAGUGCCGUUUUUGAAUUUCUACCGCAUCUCACCUUAUUGUAACAUUCUGAAUUUUCUGGAAAAAUUGUUUUUUGGACGUAAUUACACCAAUUAUAGACGGGCAACAUCAUUUUAUAGCGAUCGUCUAUGAAUUCUGGAAGUCUGAGUGACAUUUAUACCGAUUUAAGGGUCAAAAGUGUCUUUUUUGACUUUCUACCGCAUCUCACUUUAUUGAAACAUUCUGGAUCUUCUGGAAAAAUUAUUUUUUGAACGUAACUGGACCAACUACAGACGAGAGACAUAAUUUCAUAACGAUCGUCCAUGAAUUCUAGAAGUCUGAGUGACAUUUAUACCGAUUUGAGGGUCAAAAGUGUCUUUUUUCACUUUCUACCGCAUCUCACUUUAUUGUAACAUUUUGGAUCUUCUGGAAAAAUUUAUUUUUCGACGUGACUGGACCAAUUACAGACGAGAGACAUAAUUUCAUAGCGAUCGUCCACGAAUUCUGGAAGUCUGAGUGACAUUUAUACCGAAUUGGGGGUCAAAAGUGUCUUUUUUCACUUUCUACCGCAUCUCACCUUAUUGUAACAUUCUGGAUCUUCUGGAAAAAUUAUUUUUUAGACGUAACUGGACCAACUACAGACGAGAGACAUAAUUUCAUAACAAUCGUCCAUGAAUUCUGGAAGUCUGAGUGACGUUUAUACUGAAUUGGGAGUUAAAAGUGUCUUUUUUCACUUUCUACCGCAUCUCACCUUAUUGUAACAUUCUGGAUCAUCUGGAAAAAUCAUUUUUUGUACGUGACUGAACCAACUUAAGACGGGAGACAUAAUUUCAUAGCGAUCGUCCACGAAUUCUGGAAGUCUGACUGACAUUUAUACCGAAUUGGGAGUCAAAAGUGUCUUUUUUCACUUUCUACCGCAUCUCACCUUAUUGUAACAUUCUGGAUCUUCUGGAAAAAUUAUUUUUUAGACGUAACUGGACCAACUAAAGACGAGAGACAUAAUUUCAUAGCGAUCGUCCACGAAUUCUGGAAGUCUGAGUGACAUUUAUACCGAUUUGAGGGUCAAAAGUGCGUUUUUUCAUUUUCUACUGCAUCUCACCUUAUUGUAACAUUCUGGAUCUUCUGGAAAAAUUAUUUUUUGGACGUAACUAGACCAACUACAGACGAGAGACAUAAUUUCAUAGCGAUCUCUGAGUCACAUUUAUACCGAUUUGAGGGUCAAAAAUGUAACUGGACCAACUACAGACGAGAGACAUAAUUUCAUAGCGAUCGUCCAUGAAUCCUGGAAGUCUGAAUGACAUUUAUACUGAAUUGGGAGUCAAAAGUACCUUUUUUCACUUUCUCACCCAAAAAUGUUAUUUUUAGUGAUGUUAUUGAACUUUAUCCUUACAUAAUAUUAGGCAAUAAGAAAUGUUAAAUAAAACGCAGUAAGUUAUAUAUA